GAGCCCGGUGACAGGUGCUGCAUGGCUGUCGGUUCAGCUCGUGUCGUGAGAUGUUGGGUUAAGUCCCGCAACGAGCGCAACCCUCGCCUUUAGUUGCCAGCAUUCAGUUGGGCACUCUAGCGAGACUGCCGGUAAUAAACCGGAGGAAGUGGGGGAUGACGUCAAAUCAUCAUGCCCCUUAUGACCUGGGCUACACACGUGCUACAAUGGUUGGUACAACGAGUUGCGAGUCGGUGACGGCGAGCUAAUCUCUUAAAGCCAAUCUCAGUUCGGAUUGUAGGCUGCAACUCGCCUACAUGAAGUCGGAAUCGCUAGUAAUCGCGGAUCAGCACGCCGCGGUGAAUACGUUCCCGGGUCCUU
rnacentral:rRNA from 1 species